rnacentral:rRNA from 1 species
ACUUAAAUUGAAGAGUUUGAUCAUGGCUCAGAUUGAACGCUGGCGGCAGGCCUAACACAUGCAAGUCGAGCGGUAGCACAGAGAGCUUGCUCUCGGGUGACGAGCGGCGGACGGGUGAGUAAUGUCUGGGAAACUGCCUGAUGGAGGGGGAUAACUACUGGAAACGGUAGCUAAUACCGCAUAACGUCGCAAGACCAAAGUGGGGGACCUUCGGGCCUCAUGCCAUCAGAUGUGCCCAGAUGGGAUUAGCUAGUAGGUGGGGUAAUGGCUCACCUAGGCGACGAUCCCUAGCUGGUCUGAGAGGAUGACCAGCCACACUGGAACUGAGACACGGUCCAGACUCCUACGGGAGGCAGCAGUGGGGAAUAUUGCACAAUGGGCGCAAGCCUGAUGCAGCCAUGCCGCGUGUAUGAAGAAGGCCUUCGGGUUGUAAAGUACUUUCAGCGAGGAGGAAGGCGUUAAGGUUAAUAACCUUGGCGAUUGACGUUACUCGCAGAAGAAGCACCGGCUAACUCCGUGCCAGCAGCCGCGGUAAUACGGAGGGUGCAAGCGUUAAUCGGAAUUACUGGGCGUAAAGCGCACGCAGGCGGUC